rnacentral:rRNA from 1 species
CCUACGGGAGGCUGCAGUGGGGAAUAUUGGACAAUGGGCGAAAGCCUGAUCCGGCCAUGCCGCGUGUGUGAAGAAGGCCUUCGGGUUGUAAAGCACUUUCAGUGGGGAAGAAAGCCUUGGGGCUAAUACCCUCGAGGAAGGACAUCACCCACAGAAGAAGCACCGGCUAACUCCGUGCCAGCAGCCGCGGUAAUACGGAGGGUGCGAGCGUUAAUCGGAAUUACUGGGCGUAAAGCGCGCGUAGGCGGUCUGAUAAGCCGGUUGUGAAAGCCCCGGGCUCAACCUGGGAACGGCAUCCGGAACUGUCAGGCUAGAGUGCAGGAGAGGAAGGUAGAAUUCCCGGUGUAGCGGUGAAAUGCGUAGAGAUCGGGAGGAAUACCAGUGGCGAAGGCGGCCUUCUGGACUGACACUGACGCUGAGGUGCGAAAGCGUGGGUAGCAAACAGGAUUAGAUACCCUAGUAGUC